rnacentral:rRNA from 1 species
GACGAACGCUGGCUGCGUGCUUAACACAUGCAAGUCGAACGGAAAGGCCCUGCUUUUGUGGGGUGCUCGAGUGGCGAACGGGUGAGUAACACGUGAGUAACCUGCCCUUGACUUUGGGAUAACUUCAGGAAACUGGGGCUAAUACCGGAUAGGAGCUCCUGCUGCAUGGUGGGGGUUGGAAAGUUUCGGCGGUUGGGGAUGGACUCGCGGCUUAUCAGCUUGUUGGUGGGGUAGUGGCUUACCAAGGCUUUGACGGGUAGCCGGCCUGAGAGGGUGACCGGCCACAUUGGGACUGAGAUACGGCCCAGACUCCUACGAGAGGCAGCAGUGGGGAAUAUUGCACAAUGGGCGGAAGCCUGAUGCAGCAACGCCGCGUGCGGGAUGACGGCCUUCGGGUUGUAAACCGCUUUCGCCUGUGACGAAGCGUGAGUGACGGUAAUGGGUAAAGAAGCACCGGCUAACUACGUGCCAGCAGCCGCGGUGAUACGUAGGGUGCGAGCGUUGUCCGGAUUUAUUGGGCGUAAAGGGCUCGUAGGUGGUUGAUCGCGUCGGAAGUGUAAUCUCGGGGCUUAACCCUGAGCGUGCUUUCGAUACGGGUUGACUUGAGGAAGGUAGGGGAGAAUGGAAUUCCUGGUGGAGCGGUGGAAUGCGCAGAUAUCAGGAGGAACACCAGUGGCGAAGGCGGUUCUCUGGGCCUUUCCUGACGCUGAGGAGCGAAAGCGUGGGGAGCGAACAGGCUUAGAUACCCUGGUAGUCCACGCUGUAAACGGUGGGUACUAGGUGUGGGGUCCAUUCCACGGGUUCCGUGCCGUAGCUAACGCUUUAAGUACCCCGCCUGGGGAGUACGGCCGCAAGGCUAAAACUCAAAGGAAUCGACGGGGCCCCGCACAAGCGGCGGAGCAUGCGGAUUAAUUCGAUGCAACGCGUAGAACCUUACCUGGGUUUGACAUGGAUCGGGAGUGCUCAGAGAUGGGUGUGCCUCUUUUGGGGUCGGUUCACAGGUGGUGCAUGCCUGUCGUCAGCUCGUGUCGUGAGAUGUUGGGUUAAGUCCCGCAACGAGCGCAACCCUUGUUCACUGUUGCCAGCACGUUAUGGUGGGGACUCAGUGGAGACCGCCGGGGUCAACUCGGAGGAAGGUGGGGAUGACGUCAAGUCCUCAUGCCCCUUAUGUCCAGGGCUUCACGCAUGCUACAAUGGCUGGUACAGAGAGUGGCGAGCCUGUGAGGGUGAGCGAAUCUCGGAAAGCCGGUCUCAGUUCGGAUUGGGGUCUGCAACUCGACCUCAUGAAGUCGGAGUCGCUAGUAAUCGCAGAUCAGCAACGCUGCGGUGAAUACGUUCCCGGGGCU